AGGACGAACGCUGGCGGCGUGCCUCAUACAUGCAAGUGGAGCGACGAACCAGGAUUUAUCCUGGGGCAAAGCCGCGAACGGGUGAGUAACACGUGGGUUACCUGCCUUGAUGACCGGGACAACCCGAGGAAACUCGGGCUAAUACCGGAUGUGCCCGCAAGGGGAAAGGAAGCUUCGGCCUCCGCAUCAAGAUGGGCCCGCGGCCCAUUAGCUUGUUGGUGAGGUAACGGCUCACCAAGGCUUCGAUGGGUAGCUGGUCUGAGAGGACGAUCAGCCACACUGGGACUGAGACACGGCCCAGACUCCUACAGGAGGCAGCAGUGGGGAAUCUUGCGCAAUGCGCGAAAGCGUGACGCAGCAACGCCGCGUGGGGAAGAAGGCUUUCGGGUUGUAAACCCCUUUCAGUUGGGACGAAGCUUCUCCGGUGAAUAGCCGGACGGAGUGACGGUACCUUCACAAGAAGCACCGGCUAACUACGUGCCAGCAGCCGC
rnacentral:rRNA from 1 species